rnacentral:rRNA from 1 species
UACGUAGGGGGCUAGCGUUGUCCGGAAUCAUUGGGCGUAAAGCGCGUGUAGGCGGCCCGGUAAGUCCGCUGUGAAAGUCGGGGGCUCAACCCUCGGAUGCCGGUGGAUACUGUCGGGCUUGAGUGCGGAAGAGGCGAGUGGAACUCCUGGUGUAGCGGUGGAAUGCGCAGAUAUCAGGAAGAACACCAACGGCGAAGGCAGCUCGCUAGGACGGUACUGACGCUGAGACGCGAAAGCGUGGGGAGCGAACAGG